GGGUCAGGACAUCAAGAGCAGAGGCAUAACUAGGGACCCACCCUACAACCAUGACAGCUUCCCCUCAGCAUAUGCUCAGAGUAUAGCAUGGAUGUACAAAGGUACAGCGUCAUGGGAAAUAAUGGUUGGUCUGGAGGACAAAACAGCCAUCGUUGUUGCUGCCUUAGAGACUGCUAAGCAGUUGGUGUCUCACUCACAAGCCACAUGAAUGCCACUUUCCAGAAGAAAACUGACUCUCACAUGAACCCCUGGGAAGAAGGCUAUGUGCUUUUGUCUCAGAGUGAGGUUCCCUCUGAAAGGAAUUCCACCCAGACUUCAUUUAAGGAAAAAAAAAAAAGCACAGGAUUGGAGGGUCUGCUGCUUGCUGAGAAGUUUGGCACCCACACCUUCAAGCAGGUCAUCCCAUGGUGGGAAUGGCCUAGGUAAAAACAUGGCUUCCCUGUGUAAGCACUGAGCUGUACAGGGGUAGGCAGGAGGGACAGCAACCGACACAGUCUGCCAUCAUCAUGGAUCUCAAGGCUCCCAAAGUCAGCACGUUCCAGAAUCCACUGUCCAAGCAGCUGCAUCAGGGCUAACUCUCCAUUUUCAGAGCAUCUGAGGCUAUAGGCCUAGAGGAGCCCUGCCCUUCUGAGUGGAGGGUGGAGAAGGGUCACCUUAGAAACGUGGCUGAGCUCUCAAACCAGCCGGAUUCGGAGGCAGAGUGCUGGGGACAAUGAAUGUCAACCAGAAGGUUCUAUGGGCUUCGAAGCUGUGAGAGUUAAGAUUGUCAAUUUGACAAAACAGAACAUCAUCAAAGAGUCUCCUCUAGGCGUCUCUGAGGGAUUUUCUAGAUCAGAUCAGCUGAGGAGAGAAGACCCAUUCUACAGGCACAACGUGACAAGCCACCUCAGGCUCGUACUGGUGUAUCUUCCUCAUCGCCAAUCGUGAGCUACAAUAAAGCCUGCCUUCCUCAA